rnacentral:rRNA from 1 species
AGGAUAAACGCUGGCGGCGUGCAUGAGACAUGCAAGUCAAACGGGCCUUCAGGGCUUGCUCUGGAGGCCAGUGGCGGACGGCUGAGUAACGCGUAGGUGACCUGCCCCGAAGUGGGGAAUAACUGCCCGAAAGGGUGGCUAAUACCGCAUGUGGUGAUGCGUUCAUUCACAUCAGUAAAGCCGCAAGGUGCUUCGGGAGGGGCCUGCGUCCGAUUAGCUCGUUGGUGGGUAACGGCUCACCAAGGCGACGAUCGGUAGGUGGUCUGAGAGGACGAUCACCCAGACUGGGACUGAGACACGGCCCAGACUCCUACGGGAGGCAGCAGUCGGGAAUUUUGCGCAAUGGACGAAAGUCUGACGCAGCAACGCCGCGUGAGGGAUGAAGGCCUUCGGGUUGUAAACCUCUUUUCUCUAGGGAAGAUAGUGACGGUACCUGAGGAAUAAGUCACGGCUAACUACGCGCCAGCAGCGCGGU